AUGAACAUCGACAUUUCGAACGCACAUUGCGGUCCACGGAUACAAUUCCCGGACCACGCCUGGCUGAGGGUCG
rnacentral:rRNA from 1 species